rnacentral:misc_RNA from 1 species
GGGCAAUUUUUGGCCAUUCGUUUCCUUGCAAAUUAUUCGCAACUUUUCGAUCAACACUAAAAUCCAAUUUUUUAGUGUUCGCAUUUUUGCGUAUUAGCAAAUUUCCCUGCGUUGUCUUGCGAGUGGAUCGACAGCAUCGUAAGGAUAUGUUUUUUAAGUGCGCAUAUUAGAUUUGAUUAGUUCCAAGUUUGUAGUUGGGUUUAGGUGUAACAAUAAUAGUAAUGGAUGACUUAAUGAACGUUUUGGCCAUUCGAAACCUAGAAAAUGCAGAACUGCAAUACCGCCGUAAUGUUUUGCGCAAUCCGGGGAAAUGCGUUCAUAAAACUGAAUGAAAGGCAGUUUAUUAAAAUAUUUCGGUUAUCCAAAGACUUGUGCCGUGUUUUUAUUCAGUUACUUGAGUCAUACAUGCGACCACAAAGAAGAGAGACUGAUUUGGAUGUGCAAAGCCGGAUUUUAGCUGUUCUGAAAUUUUAGGGAAGUGGUUGUUACCAGCCGGAUGUUGCUUUAAAUAAAUACAUCGAUAUGUGCCAAGCCUCGGUUUCUCCUUCAAUUGACGAAUUUAUCAACGCUCUAAACCAUCCAGAGAUAUUUGAUCAAUGGGUUGAAUUUCCAAAUAAUUUUGAAAAACUCAACAGAAUUAGCGAACAGUAUGGUUUUGCAAUACGGGUAGUUAUUGCAUAAUUACGUAUUAUCAUUGUAGAUUUUUCCGAAUACAUAGGUUCCCGGGAGUGAUAGGAUGUGCUUUUUGUUUGUCUGUAACAUUAGUUCCACGUUUUAUUUUUUUAAUAUUAACCCACUUGACUAACAACAAGCCUCGAUUAUCGACACCAAGUAAUGAAAAGUAAACAAACGGUAAAAAAUACGGUUAAACUGGAGAGAAUUUAGUUUUUCACUGUGAUUUGUCGACGUUGCCACAAUUCCGGCUCGUAAUUUUGCGUACGCUCACGACGAUCGCAAAUUAAUAUGCGAAGAUGGCUGAAAAAUUGAAUUUUUAAAACGCAUUCGUUUUCUAACACUCGUAAAGUUGCGCGUUCGCAUGUAAACGAUCAAUUCCAAAAAUUG